AAAAGGUGAACGACGUGUGGCUGUGUUCGAAGAAGUCGGCAGAGUGGGGAGCACCCAGAAUGUGCAUCUGCCAGUCAUCUCGGUCUGUCCCGUGACAUCCUGCCAGCUGGCCUUUGACACUUCACAUGCCCUCAAGGGCCGGGUAGACACGAGGUCACUUUAAGGGAGCCCAGGAGCAGAUCGUCCGUGGACCGCUCUCGAGCAGGAGGGCUAUCGGACUGCCCCGCCAGUCGCUAACACAGAAUGCGGCCGCGUGAAACAAGGAAACGCACGCACACAGCGGAGAGACCAACACCACAAGCAAGCGGCGGCGGUGGAGUUAUCCGCUGGGCUCACUGGAUUGUGCCUUUUCUAGCUGGGCGAGAUCACAGCCUGGGGCGCGGCACGAGGUGACUCAACGAAGGGGGGGCAAUGGAUGGGAGGCUCAACUUGCCCUGCUUUUGCCUUUAUAUGGCAAUGGUACGAGUUGCACUCCUCCCUUUUCCUCUGUGGCAAAAAGCACGCGUUUCUCUACGGCUGCUGCUGCAGCAGCUCGAGCUACAACACAACCAUCCAUGCGGCGGUGGUGAUGAUUGUGAACGAGAGAGAGAGGUCAGAGUGCUCCUCCGCACGUCUGUUGAAUGACGAAAUGUUGAGCAGUGGUCAUCCCUGCCGGCAACCCAACAAGGGACAGACCACGAAGUUCCA